rnacentral:rRNA from 1 species
UCCAGACUCCUACGGGAGGCAGCAGUGGGGGAUAUUGCACAAUGGGGGAAACCCUGAUGCAGCGACGCCGCGUGAGUGAAGAAGUAUUUCGGUAUGUAAAGCUCUCUCAGCAGGGAAGAAGAUGACAGUACCUGAGUAAGAAGCCCCGGCUAACUACGUGCCAGCAGCCGCGGUAAUACGUAGGGGGCAAGCGUUAUCCGGAUUUACUGGGUGUAAAGGGAGCGUAGACGGUUAUGUAAGUCUGGAGUGAAAGCCCGGGGCCCAACCCCGGGACUGCGCUUGGAACUGCGUGGCUGGAGUGCAGGAGGGGCAGGCGGAAUUCCUGGUGUAGCGGUGAAAUGCGUAGAUAUCAGGAGGAACACCGGUGGCGAAGGCGGCCUGCUGGACUGCAACUGACGUUGAGGCCCGAAAGCGUGGGGAGCAAACAGGAUUAGAUACCCCAGUAUG